CUUCUCAUUCAGCCUUACCUGAGGCCACUCUAGAGCAAAACACCUUCCAGGGACAGAAUUAUUCUUUCUCUUUGGCAAAGGGAAUGACAGGACUAUGGAAUAGCAGCUUUUUCUAUUUCAGCUCUCACUAUAAUUCCUAGCAGCAGAUCAGGCUAGAGCCAGCUGCAGUGAUGAGCUCCAGGGAAGCACUGCUAUCUCCCCUCCUGGUGAGUCAUGGUGACGUAUUUUGUGAGAUCUGGUAGAUGCACAGGCAGAAUCCAGUCCACCAUAAAGAGGGUUCUUCUUUUGGUCAGUCUAAAAUCUAUUUUGCACCUGGAACAUCUCUACAACUUCCACAGGUGGGGAGGGGAGAAGCUGCAGUCCCAAGGCAUUCCCCACCUUCUGCAGAAACAAAGUGAUGUGUCUAAAGGAAACUGCUUUGUGGUGGGGUCCCUAGAAGUGUGAGGAAGUUUUCUAUUAGUGAAAUAGCUUUGUCCAUGUGCUGUAUCAUCAUGGCCUAUCACCAUGGAUGGAGAUGGAAACCCCCAGUACUGCCACAACCCCAGGUGACACCAGUACCUGGGAGGGAGCUGCUUUGUCCUUGGGAAGAGUAGCAACACAGCAUCUCUGCAGGCUCUGAGAUCUUUGAUUAUCUAAUAAUUUGCGGUAUGUGAAAGUGCUUUUCUUUGAAUUACUUUGAUGUGUAUAUUGAAAAAGAUCUUUUUAAUUAUUUAUUUUAGAAUUAGACAAACCAAGAAAUGACGCAAAAUAAUCAUUUUCUAAUGGAGCUAAGUGGUAUCUCUCUUUAGGAAAAACAAAAUGCAAUUUCCUCCUAUGAACAGUCUUCUUACUUGUAUUGCUUUCCUUUCAGUUAGAAUGAUAUAUUCUCUGUUAGAAUGAUACAUACUAGUUUAAUUCAAAGAUCAGCUCUAGGUUUUUAAAUGUACUUUUCCCUUCCUUAAAAGUGGCUCCAGGGUGGAGGUAAGGACUUUAGAUCCUUAGGAAAAGUUACCCUAUAUUCUGUGAAAAGAGAUUUGUUAUUUUUCCUGAAUUCCAAGAUGCUUUGCUAAACUUGAUCCCUCUUAUGAAUAGCUUCCUUAAUGCCAAAUCAUUGUUGAGGUACUCUGUUAGCAAUUGCUGUGAGACGGACUUGUUUAUUUGCCACCAUUUUAUUCCUUCACUCUCCUUAAAUGAAGGUAACAAAACAAUUUGUUAAAGAGACUAAUACCUUUUUUUUUUUUUUUUUUUUUUUGAGAGAGAGAGAGAGAAA